rnacentral:sRNA from 1 species
CUUGCCCUGGCGGCCCCAGCAGCCCUUGUAGUGACCGUGGCGUGUGCAUGGACGGCAUGAGUGGCAGUGGGCAGUGUCUGUGCCGUUCAGGUUUUGCUGGGACAGCCUGUGAACUCUGUGCUCCUGGUGCCUUUGGGCCCCAUUGUCAAGCCUGCCGCUGCACUGUGCAUGGCCGCUGUGAUGAGGGCCUUGGGGGCUCUGGCUCCUGCUUCUGUGAUGAAGGCUGGACUGGGCCACGCUGUGAGGUGCAACUGGGUGAGUAGCCCCGUGCUCGUGCCCACCCUACACACUUGUGUACAUGUGCACACAUCAGUAAAGGCACCAAGGGUGGGUGGAACGGGCAGAGGCCAGGAAGGCAACUACUAACCUGGUUCUGGGGGCUGGGCCCUGGGGGACAGAGCUGCAGCCUGUGUGUACCCCACCCUGUGCACCCGAGGCUGUGUGCCGUGCAGGCAACAGCUGUGAGUGCAGCCUGGGCUAUGAAGGGGAUGGCCGCGUGUGUACAGUGGCAGACCUGUGCCAGGACGGGCAUGGUGGCUGCAGUGAGCACGCCAACUGUAGCCAGGUAGGAACAGUGGUCACUUGUACCUGCCUGCCCGACUACGAGGGUGAUGGCUGGAGCUGCCGGGCCCGCAACCCCUGCACAGAUGGCCACCGCGGGGGCUGCAGCGAGCACGCCAACUGCUUGAGCACCGGCCUGAACACACGGCGCUGUGAGUGCCACGCAGGCUACGUAGGCGAUGGACUGCAGUGUCUGGAGGAGUCGGAACCACCUGUGGACCGCUGCUUGGGCCAGCCACCGCCCUGCCACUCAGAUGCCGUGUGCACUGACCUGCACUUCCAGGGUGUGUCCCCCUGCCCACUCCCAGUACCCAUUUCAUUCCUCAGAGCCGGCCAGCUGACCAUGCACCCCUCCAUUCUGCAGAGAAACGGGCUGGCGUCUUCCACCUCCAGGCCACCAGCGGCCCUUAUGGUCUGAACUUUUCGGAGGCUGAGGCGGCAUGCGAAGCACAGGGAGCCGUCCUUGCUUCAUUCCCUCAGCUCUCUGCUGCCCAGCAGCUGGGCUUCCACCUGUGCCUCAUGGGCUGGCUGGCCAAUGGCUCCACUGCCCACCCUGUGGUUUUCCCUGUGGCGGACUGUGGCAAUGGUCGGGUGGGCAUAGUCAGCCUGGGUGCCCGCAAGAACCUCUCAGAACGCUGGGAUGCCUACUGCUUCCGUGUGCAAGAUGUGGCCUGCCGAUGCCGAGAUGGCUUCGUGGGUGACGGGAUCAGCACGUGCAAUGGGAAGCUGCUGGAUGUGCUGGCUGCCACUGCCAACUUCUCCACCUUCUAUGGGAUGCUAUUGGGCUAUGCCAAUGCCACCCAGCGGGGUCUCGACUUCCUGGACUUCCUGGAUGAUGAGCUCACGUAUAAGACACUCUUCGUCCCUGUCAAUGAAGGCUUUGUGGACAACAUGACGCUGAGUGGCCCAGACUUGGAGCUGCACGCCUCCAACGCCACCCUCCUAAGUGCCAACGCCAGCCAGGGGAAGUUGCUUCCGGCCCACUCAGGCCUCAGCCUCAUCAUCAGUGACGCAGGCCCUGACAACAGUUCCUGGGCCCCUGUGGUGAGUCUGGCCACUGUCCCACCCUGUUGGCCGUGGCCCUCGCUCACAGUGGGCCUGACUCUGGUCUCCCUGCAGGCCCCGGGGACAGUUGUGGUUAGCCAUAUCAUUGUGUGGGACAUCAUGGCCUUCAAUGGCAUCAUCCAUGCUCUGGCCAGCCCCCUCCUGGCACCCCCACAGCCUCAGGCAGUGCUGGCGCCUGAAGCCCCACCUGUGGCGGCAGGCGUGGGGGCUGUGCUUGCCGCUGGAGCACUGCUUGGCUUGGUGGCCGGAGCUCUCUACCUCCGUGCCCGAGGCAAGCCCACGGGCUUUGGCUUCUCUGCCUUCCAGGCGGAAGAUGAUGCUGACGACGACUUCUCACCGUGGCAAGAAGGGACCAACCCCACCCUGGUCUCUGUCCCCAACCCUGUCUUUGGCAGCGACACCUUUUGUGAACCCUUCGAUGACUCACUCCUGGAGGAGGACUUCCCUGACACCCAGAGGAUCCUCACAGUCAAGUGACGAGGCUGGGGCUGAAAGCAGAAGCAUGCACAGGGAGGAGACCACUUUUAUUGCUUGUCUGGGUGGAUGGGGCAGGAGGGGCUGGGGGCCUGUCCCAGACAAUAAAGGUGCCCUCAGCGGAUGUGGGCCAUGUCACC